AACUCCCGGCCCUAGAGCAUUCUAAGUGUUGGAGGGUUUCCGCCCUUCAGUGCUGCAGCUAACGCAUUAAGUAAUCCGCCUGGGGAGUACGACCGCAAGGUUGAAACUCAAAAGAAUUGACGGGGGCCCGCACAAGCGGUGGAGCAUGUGGUUUAAUUCGAAGCUACGCGAAGAACCUUACCAGGUCUUGACAUCUUCUGCCAACCUAAGAGAUUAGGCGUUCCCUUCGGGGACAGAAUGACAGGUGGUGCAUGGUUGUCGUCAGCUCGUGUCGUGAGAUGUUGGGUUAAGUCCCGCAACGAGCGCAACCCUUAUUACUAGUUGCCAGCAUUCAGUUGGGCACUCUAGUGAGACUGCCGGUGACAAACCGGAGGAAGGUGGGGACGACGUCAAAUCAUCAUGCCCCUUAUGACCUGGGCUACACACGUGCUACAAUGGAUGGUACAACGAGUCGCGAAACCGCGAGGUUUAGCUAAUCUCUUAAAACCAUUCUCAGUUCGGACUGUAGGCUGCAACUCGCCUACACGAAGUCGGAAUCGCUAGUAAUCGCGGAUCAGCAUGCCGCGGUGAAUACGUUCCCGGGCCUUGUACACACCGCCCGUCACACCAUGAGAGUUUGUAACACCCAAAGCCGGUGGGGUAACCUUUUAGGAGCUAGCCGUCUAAGGUGGGACAGAUGAUUAGGGUGAAGUCGUAACAGGCCAACCGAACACCCCCCCCCCCCCCCCCCCCCCCCCCCCCCCCCCCCCCCCCC
rnacentral:rRNA from 1 species